CGGCGGUGAAAGAUGCACACACGCAUAGUCUGUACUGUGAAGACAGCACCUCAUCUCUGGACAGUGAGAUAGUGACGAUGCAGAUUCAGAUGAAGCUGGUGUGAUGUGACGGGAGACACUGAGACUGAGACUAAGCCUGAGCUUCAGCCAUGUCUGAGUUCAGGUCCAGGGUACGCUGUCGGAGAGCAGGUGUCCGUGCCGCCGCGGCUCUCAUCGGACUCCUGCACCGCUCUCGAAAGCGCUGUGAGAGACGGAGACUGACGGAGACGGACGACCAGUGGAAACAGGAGUGUCUGAACAUCUCCAAUGUACCCCUGGCAGACUGCCCUCCUUCUCCCCCAAGAACCGCCCCUCCCGCCAUGAAGUCUACUCAAUUCUUUGACAGUCUGGACAAGAUGGAGCAGGUUUCAGAGGUGGAGGAGUUGAGGUCAAGCCCACAAAAAGUUAAGGAUGACUGCAUUUCAUACCCACCGAUAGACGAGGUUCUGAAGCGGGGUAUGCCGUACCCUCAGGUCAUUAUGCCUCAGUCUGGGGGUUACUGGAUAGAAGAUCCUGAUGCUCCUGCCACCAUUUCAAGCUGGGAGAACGGUUACUGUGAUGAGGAAGAUGAAGAGGGAGGAAAUUCAGAAGAGUUUGGUUACAAGCUGGAAAGUAACUUUGCCAUUCGAGCAUACCGCAAGCACUUUCUGGGCAGGGAACAUCUGAACUUCUACUGCUCAGCCAGUAACCAUGGCAACCUGGUACUGUCCCUCAGACAUGAGGAGGUGAAGGAGCAAGAGUACCUGCACAUCAUCCUCAGGACUCCAUCGAAGACAAUCUAUGACAGGAUCUCCUUAGCGGGUUUAACAGAGCUCCCCAGUGUCCCUCAGUUAGCCAAGCUACUAUGUGAAGAUAUUACAUGUCUGAGAUUUAAUCCAGUGCUGUACCCGAAGGGUUCUCAGUUAAUAGUGAAUUAUGAUGAGCAUGAAUUAAACAACACCUACAAGUUCGGUGUCAUUUAUCAAAAGUUCGGACAGACCUCAGAAGAGGAGUUAUUUGGGAAUAGUGAAGAGACGCCGGCCUUCACUGAGUUCCUCCGAGUACUGGGAGAUUGCGUAGAGCUGCAAGACUUUAAAGGGUUUCGAGGUGGUUUAGAUGUGUCUCACGGUCAGACCGGGUCUCAAUCUGUUUACACUGUGUUUAGAGGACAAGAACUUAUGUUUCACAUCUCCACUAAACUGCCAUAUACAGAAGGAGACACGCAGCAGCUCCAGAGGAAGAGGCACAUUGGGAAUGACAUCGUGGCUGCAGUUUUUCAAGAGGAGGCCACACCUUUUGUGCCCGACAUGAUUGCCUCCAAUUUUCUCCACGCGUACAUCCUCGUGCAGGUGGAGAAUCCUGGAACAGAUGACACCACGUACAAGGUAUCUGUCACAGCUCGUGAAGAUGUGCCACCAUUCGGCCCUCCUCUCCCCAAUCCACCCGUCUUCAAAAAGGGUCCAGAAUUCAGGGAGUUCCUGCUGACCAAGCUGAUCAAUGCAGAGCUGGCGUGCUACAGAUCAAACAGAUUUGCCAAGCUUGAGGAGAGGACACGGACCGAACUGCUAGAUAACCUUCAUAAUGAGGUACACAAGCACACACAGAUGAUGUUGGGACAACCACUCAGUGGAGAUGAAGAGAGGAUGGAGAACGGAGGACAUGGAGGAAUACUGGAGUCGAUCAAGCGAGCAAUGCGCGUGCGCAGUCACUCUAUGGAUACAAUGGUGGGCUCUCAGAAACACAGCCGUUACUCUGCGGCGGGAGGAGGUGUACCCACAAGUUUAAGUGGGGUCGCCCUGACCCACACUAACACUGAUGCUGCUAAAAAUUCGUCUCCAGUGACAUCAAGCGCUAAGUCUCCUCUUAAGAGCCCUGUGAAGAGGCGGUCAGGGCUGUUUCCACGACUUCACACCAGUAUGGAUGGACAGCCUGAGCGUCACACGCGCAGUGUCCUGUGUGACCAAAGAAGUCUAGAUAGCGGUCAUCUAUCACAGGAAGUGAGGUCAGAGACAUUCUCCAAUCCUAGCUCUCCAGAGAUCCUGAGCAAUGAGAGAUCUUCUGUCAAGCUGAAGGAGGGAGGUGGAAGGCCAGACAUCUCUCGUUCCUCCUCCAGCACCAGCAGCUUCAGUAGUGCUGCAGGAGACCCAGAGAUGCUGGAGGAGAAAGAACCUAGCUGCCUCCAGAUGUCUCCCAGCCUCUCACCGGUAUUUGGUUCUCUAAACACUGAGGGUCAAAAUGCAGGAACGCCGGUGAUCAUGUGCCGCAGUCCAACAGAUUUCAGGAGCAAGCCCUCGGCCAGAUCCAGUCUGAAGUUCCGCUUUGACCAGUUGAGCCAAUCGGCUGCUGGGCAUUAACAAACUGAACAUCAAAAGCCAGAAUCAUUAAAACUUUAGAAUACAGCGCCCCCUAAUAAAUCCAGAGGAACAGCACAGAAGAUCAGACACUCCUGGCACUGAAAAGGAGAGAAAUUAAAGAGGAACACAUUACACAAACCUGUGCUCCCAAUCGGACCAUAACAUGAAAAAAGCACAUGAGCAUAAGCACACCUCUGCGUGUUUACAGCAUCUGCAGAUGUUCAGCUGGUACUGACUUGACACACAGUAUAUUGAUCUUGCACAUUCUGUGAAAGUCUUGCACUGUAAAAAUACUCCAAUAUCUUUACAUGGAUUAGCAGUCAUUCUCUAGCUGUGGUCCAGAGAGCAAUGAAACAUAAUUGAAUGAAUUAAGAUUUGCACCUGAAACAUUCCACAUGUAAUGCACAAAGUGGCCAUUUGAUGAAACUGACCACAGCUGAGAUUUGCCUUUAUGUUUAAAUUAACAAAUCAGUCUAAAAUGCACUGGCCAGUCUUUGUAAAAAAGGUUUAUUAAGAAGAUCUGUCCUUUUAACUUGUUCAUAUUAUAUAAAUAUAUAUUAUUAAAAACCUUAUUUGGCUUCACUGGAUAAUUAUGUGGCUUAUGUGUGUGUAAAUAUGAGAAUCUCAUCAAUCACUCUUAUCUGUAUAUAUUUACUGUGAAUAGACAUAGAAGAUAAAAGAAUCUCAGAAAAUUAAACUUGAACAAUUUGAACUUUUAUUGUCACAAAUGAAGUUCAAACAGCUCAAAUGAGACCUCGACAUUUUGUUCUUUCAGUAAAGUAUUUUUUGUUGAUUUACUUUUUAAAUUGUUUAAGCAAAUGAGCAAUGUUAAUUUAUUUUUUUUCUGUUUGUACUGCUACAUGUGUAAAUGUUUCUGAAUGCAUUGUUGAUUUUGGUAAAUAAAAUAUUGUAUUUUG